UACGGAGGGUGCAAGCGUUAAUCGGAAUUACUGGGCGUAAAGCGCACGCAGGCGGUCUGUCAAGUCGGAUGUGAAAUCCCCGGGCUCAACCUGGGAACUGCAUCCGAAACUGGCAGGCUAGAGUCUUGUAGAGGGGGGUAGAAUUCCCGGUGUAGCGGUGAAAUGCGUAGAGAUCUGGAGGAAUACCGGUGGCGAAGGCGGCCCCCUGGACAAAGACUGACGCUCAGGUGCGAAAGCGUGGGGAGCAAACAGGAUUAGAUACCCUGGUAGUCCACGCCGUAAACGAUGGCGACUGGGAGGUGGUGCCCUUGAGGCGUGGCUGCCGGAGCUAACGCGUUAAGUCGACCGCCUGGGGAGUACGGCCGCAAGGUUAAA
rnacentral:rRNA from 1 species